GCACUACCAAAAGUGUUUAGAGCACUCUGUUGAAAAUGGCAGUAUUUGAAGAAACUGGAUGUCACUUAAAAUAUGAUCCUUGGAUAAACAUCACAUGCUGCUGGCCUUCUUACAAAAUGAGGGCCCUUGAUGAGAUGGAAUAAACAAUGAAAAAGUAGUCAGGCAGCCUGGGAUGCAGUCUUGAUUCAGCCCCUACUAGAAUGACAUCCUGGGGUCUUUACUGUUCCUAAUGAGCUCUUAAUGAGCUGUCAAUUGCUUAUGCAAAUAGAGAAGGAAACAGACGCUGAGGAGUUGAUACCUACUCAGUUAAAAUAUGACACCGCCUAACCUCUCAAAGUUAUUAAAAAUGGAAAUUGCUCUAACUUAAUAACCGGCCUUGACC
rnacentral:lncRNA from 10 species